AGUGAACGCUGGCGGUAGGCCUAACACAUGCAAGUCGAACGGCAGCACAGUAAGAGCUUGCUCUUACGGGUGGCGAGUGGCGGACGGGUGAGGAAUACAUCGGAAUCUACUUUUUCGUGGGGGAUAACGUAGGGAAACUUACGCUAAUACCGCAUACGACCUACGGGUGAAAGCAGGGGAUCUUCGGACCUUGCGCGAUUGAAUGAGCCGAUGUCGGAUUAGCUAGUUGGCGGGGUAAAGGCCCACCAAGGCGACGAUCCGUAGCUGGUCUGAGAGGAUGAUCAGCCACACUGGAACUGAGACACGGUCCAGACUCCUACGGGAGGCAGCAGUGGGGAAUAUUGGACAAUGGGCGCAAGCCUGAUCCAGCCAUACCGCGUGAGUGAAGAAGGCCUUCGGGUUGUAAAGCCCUUUUGUUGGGAAAGAAAGGCAGCAGGUUAAUACCCCGCUGUUCUGACGGUACCCAAAGAAUAAGCACCGGCUAACUUCGUG
rnacentral:rRNA from 1 species